rnacentral:rRNA from 1 species
AAUCAACGCUGGCGGCAGGCCUAACACAUGCAAGUCGAACGGAUCCUUCGGGAUUAGUGGCGGACGGGUGAGUAACACGUGGGAACGUGCCCUUUGGUUCGGAACAACUCAGGGAAACUUGAGCUAAUACCGGAUGUGCCCUUCGGGGGAAAGAUUUAUCGCCAUUGGAGCGGCCCGCGUCUGAUUAGCUAGUUGGUGAGGUAAAGGCUCACCAAGGCGACGAUCAGUAGCUGGUCUGAGAGGAUGAUCAGCCACAUUGGGACUGAGACACGGCCCAAACUCCUACGGGAGGCAGCAGUGGGGAAUCUUGCGCAAUGGGCGAAAGCCUGACGCAGCCAUGCCGCGUGAAUGAUGAAGGUCUUAGGAUUGUAAAAUUCUUUCACCGGGGACGAUAAUGACGGUACCCGGAGAAGAAGCCCCGGCUAACUUCGUGCCAGCCGCCGCCGUAAAAC